AUUUUCUUAGUAUAUAAGUACAUUUGACUUCCAAUCAAAAAGUCUAAUUUUUAGAGAAAAUA
rnacentral:tRNA from 1 species